UACGUAGGGGGCUAGCGUUGUCCGGAAUCAUUGGGCGUAAAGAGCGCGUAGGCGGCCAGACAAGUCUGGUGUGAAAGUCACAGGCUCAACCUGUGAAUGCCGCUGGAAACUGUCUGGCUAGAGUCCGGAAGGGGCGAGUGGAAUUCCCGGUGUAGCGGUGAAAUGCGCAGAUAUCAGGAGGAACACCUAUGGCGAAGGCAGCUCGCUGGGACGGUACUGACGCUGAGGCGCGAAAGCAUGGGGAGCGAACAGG
rnacentral:rRNA from 1 species